ensembl:rRNA 5S_rRNA 5S ribosomal RNA
GUCUACGGCCAUACCACCCUGAACACGCCAGAUCUCGGAAACUAAGCAGGGUCGGGCCUGGUUAGUACUUGGAUGGGAGACCGCCUGGGAAUACCCGGUACUGUAGGCU